GAGUNCAGAAGGGGAGAGUGGAAUUCCAUGUGUAGCGGUGAAAUGCGUAGAUAUAUGGAGGAACACCGGUGGCGAAAGCGGCUCUCUGGUCUGUCACUGACGCUGAGGCUCGAAAGCGUGGGUAGCGAACAGGAUUAGAUACCCUGGUAGUNCACGCCGUAAACGCUGAGUGCUAGGUGUUAGGUCCUUUCCGGGACUUAGUGCCGACGCUAACGCAUUAAGCACUCCGCCUGGGGAGUACGACCGCAAGGUUGAAACUCAAAGGAAUUGACGGGGGCCCGCACAAGCGGUGGAGCAUGUGGUUUAAUUCGAAGCAACGCGAAGAACCUUACCAGGUCUUGACAUCCCGAUGCCCGCUCUAGAGAUAGAGUUUUUCUUCGGAACAUCGGAGACAGGUGGUGCAUGGUUGUCGUCAGCUCGUGUCGUGAGAUGUUGGGUUAAGUCCCGCAACGAGCGCAACCCUUAUUGUUAGUUGCCAUCAUUAAGUUGGGCACUCUAGCGAGACUGCCGGUAAUAAACCGGAGGAAGGUGGGGAUGACGUCAAAUCAUCAUGCCCCUUAUAACCUGGGCUACACACGUGCUACAAUGGUUGGUACAACGAGUCGCAAGCCGGUGACGGCAAGCUAAUCUCUGAAAGCCAAUCUCAGUUCGGAUUGUAGGCUGCAACUCGCCUACAUGAAGUCGGAAUCGCUAGUAAUCGCGGAUCAGCACGCCGCGGUGAAUACGUUCCCGGGCCUUGUACACACCGCCCGUCACACCACGAGAGUUUGUAACACCCAAAGUCGGUGAGGUAACCAUUUAUGGGGCCAGCCGCC
rnacentral:rRNA from 1 species